AAUGCAAGCCCAAUUAGAAGAUCUAAAAUGUUUCUUACAGGAUCAAUGGGCAAACACCCACUCUACCAGAAACAGACCUGUUUCUGAACCUUUGAAUGAGGAAAUUUCCUUCCCUGAAAUAGAGAUGGAAAACACCUUCCCUAUAGCCCAGUUAACAGACUGCUUCUCUCGUGCAGUGCAAAUCUUGUCUGAAUUUAAUCCCCAAAACCCUUCCCCUGCAAUCCCAGCUUCUCAUGUUCCUUCUCCUACAGAAAACCAAAUUCCAAUGCAAGGGAGAUCUUGUCCUCCUAGAGAAACCUGUCCUUGUCAAACUGACCCACAGGUGCAAAAUUCAACUAGAGGCCUGUUUCCUCUAAGAGAAGUACCUGAAAUAGGACGAAAUGGGGAUGUGGUGACUUUAAGACAUAGGAUACCGUUUACUCCCCAAGAAAUAAAUGAAUUUACACGAAAUAUCCCCACAUAUGAACAAGAUCCUUUUCUAGUAACAAAAAAGAUGGGAGACAUAUUUUUUCAAUAUAAUCCGUCUUACAAGGACGUUGAGAGCUUACUACAGGCUUUUUUAAGUGAACGUGAAAAAAAUAAAAUAAUUGCUCAUGUCAACAAAACCCGGGGGCGUAAUGCAGCACAUUGGCCAUCUCAGGAUCCCGAAUGGGACUAUAAUAAUCCUGAGGACUAUCUACAACUAUACCGUUGUAGAGAGGCCAUCCUCACGGCCAUGAAGGAAUGUGCGGACAGUACAGAUAAGUGGAUGGAACUGGAAAAAAUUAAGCAAAAGGAAAAUGAAACACCCUCCAGAUUUAUGGACAGAAUUAUCGAGUUUGGGGACAGAUACUUAGAUUGGGACUUAAAUAAAGAGAAUAGUUUAAGACAAGUUAGAAGAAUCUUUGUAAACAAUUCUUGCAAAGUAAUUAAAAAUUAUUUUAAAACACAAUGCCCAAGAUGGUCAGAUAUGGACCUUGAAGAAUUGCGAAAAACUGCUAUAUAUGUUUUUAAGGGAAACGAAGAAAAGGAGAAAGAGAAUAAUGAUGACAUGGAGGAAAUGAAGAAAAAAAUGAGAUGUGUAAUAGAUAGGAUAACUAAAUUAGAAAGUGAGCAUGAUAAUGAACCAACGGCAAUUGCCCCUCUCCAGAAAUCCAAUUAUCAAUCCAUUACUUGCCACUUCUGUGAGAAGAAGGGCACAAAAUGAUGAAAUGUAAAACCUUUCUUA
rnacentral:lncRNA from 1 species